rnacentral:ncRNA from 1 species
GGGUGAACUUAGAGCCCCGCUGCAAUCGUGUUAAUAGUCAUGCUUUUGGCCGGGCCUGACGGUUAGUGAAUC